UACGGGGGGUGCGAGCGUUGUCCGGAAUCACUGGGCGUAAAGGGCGCGUAGGUGGUUUGAUAAGGGUGUGGUGAAAGCCCGGGGCUCAACCCCGGGUCUGCCGUGCCGACUGUCAAACUCGAGGGCUGUAGAGGCAGACGGAAUUCCGGGUGUAGCGGUGGAACGCGUAGAGAUCCGGAAGAACACCGGUGGCGAAGGCGGCCUGCUGGGCAGUAGCUGACACUGAGGCGCGACAGCGUGGGGAGCAAACAGG
rnacentral:rRNA from 1 species